AUACGGAGGGUGCAAGCGUUGUUCGGAAUUAUUGGGCGUAAAGCGCGUGUAGGCGGUUUCUUAAGUCUGAUGUGAAAGCCCCGGGCUCAACCUGGGAAGUGCAUUGGAAACUGGGGGACUUGAGUACGGGAGAGGAGAGUGGAAUUCCUAGUGUAGGAGUGAGAUCCGUAGAUAUUAGGAGGAACACCGGUGGCGAAGGCGGCUACCUGGACCGAUAUUGACGCUGAGACGCGAAAGCGUGGGUAGC
rnacentral:rRNA from 1 species